rnacentral:rRNA from 1 species
GACGAACGCUGGCGGCGUGCUUAACACAUGCAAGUCGAACGGAAAGGCCCCUUUGGGGGUACUCGAGUGGCGCACGGGUGAGUAACACGUGAGUAACCUGCCCUUGACUUCGGGAUAACUUCAGGAAACUUGGGCUAAUACCGGCUAGGAAUCCUUGCUUCAUGGUGGGGGUUGGAAAGCUUUGGCGGUUUUGGAUGGACUGGCGGCCUAUUAGCUUGUUGGUGGGGUAGUGGCUUACCAAGGCUUUGACGGGUAGCCGGCCUGAGAGGGCGACCGGCCACAUUGGGACUGAGAGAAGGCCCAGACUCCUACGGGAGGCAGAAGUGGGGAAUAUUGCACAAGGGGCGGAAGCCGGAUGCAGAAACGCCGCGUGCGGGAUGACGGUCUUGGGGUUGUAGACCGCUUUCAGCAGGGGAGAAGCAUGUGGUGACGGUACCUGAAGAAGAAGCACCGGCUAACUACGUG